AUUGAACGCUGGCGGCAGGCCUAACACAUGCAAGUCGAGCGGAUGAAGAGAGCUUGCUCUCUGAUUUAGCGGCGGACGGGUGAGUAAUGCCUAGGAAUCUGCCUGGUAGUGGGGGAUAACGUUCCGAAAGGAACGCUAAUACCGCAUACGUCCUACGGGAGAAAGCAGGGGACCUUCGGGCCUUGCGCUAUCAGAUGAGCCUAGGUCGGAUUAGCUAGUUGGUGAGGUAAUGGCUCACCAAGGCGACGAUCCGUAACUGGUCUGAGAGGAUGAUCAGUCACACUGGAACGGAGACACGGUCCAGACUCCUACGGGAGGCAGCAGUGGGGAAUAUUGGACAAUGGGCGAAAGCCUGAUCCAGCCAUGCCGCGUGUGUGAAGAAGGUCUUCGGAUUGUAAAGCACUUUAAGCGAGGAGGAGGCUCUUAAGGUUAAUACCCUUGAUGAGUGGACGUUACUCGCAGAAUAAGCACCGGCUAACUCUGUGCCAGCCGCCGCAGUAAAAC
rnacentral:rRNA from 1 species